ACUUACUAGGUCAGGACACAGUAAGGAUUGACAGAUUGAAAGCUCUUUCUUGAUUUUGUGGAUGGUGGUGCAUGGCCGUUUUUAGUUGGUGGAUUGAUUUGUCUGGUUAAUUCCGAAAACGAACGAGACCUUAACCUGUUAACUAUGUGAUGUUAAAAUUCGACUUCGGUCUCAAUAUUUGAUAUUAAAAAUUUAAUACUUCUUAAAGGAACAAUUCAAACUUUAAUUGAAUGGAAGUUUAAGGCAAAAACAGGUCUGUGAUGCCCUUCGAUGUUCUGGGCUGCACGCGCGUUACACUGAUAUGUUCAAUGAGUUUUUAAAUUUCCUAGUCUGAAAAGACGUGGUAAACUUAGAAAAACAUAUCGUGAUUGGAAUAGUAUUUUGUAAUUAUCGCACUUGAACGAGGAAUUCCUAGUAGGGGCAAUUCAUCAAAUUGCCCCGAUUACGUCCCCGCCCA
rnacentral:rRNA from 1 species